rnacentral:rRNA from 1 species
UACGUAGGUGGCAAGCGUUGUCCGGAUUUAUUGGGCGUAAAGAGCGUGUAGGCGGCUUGGUAGGUCCGCUGUGAAAACUCGAGGCUCAACCUCGAGAUGUCGGCGGAAACCACUUGGCUAGAGUCCGGAAGAGGAGAGUGGAAUUCCUGGUGUAGCGGUGAAAUGCGCAGAUAUCAGGAAGAACACCUAUGGCGAAGGCAGCUCUCUGGGACGGUACUGACGCUGAGACGCGAAAGCGUGGGAGCGAACAGG